rnacentral:lncRNA from 13 species
CCAAAAGCCAUUCUUUUGUUCCCUCCUGGCUGAGGGGAGGUGCAUAGGGCGGGCUGUGUGUGGGGAAGGGCCACUGCCUGGGGCCUUGACAUUCUGAUGGACCCUAGGGCAGGCAUUUUCCUCUCUGAUGCCUCAGCUCUUUUUCUGGGGCUGGCUAGGAGCACUGGCAAGGCUGAUGCCAUAUGGUGGUUCCACUUCCUCAGGCAUGGAAGUGGAUCUUUGCAAAUUGGAGAGCAGGCGCUGAGCCUCACUCCGGCUGUCUUCUGUGCCUGGCUGUCUCCCUCCAAGAGAUGGAGUCUUGCUCUGGAAUGCAGUGGCACGAUCUCUGCUCACUGCAACCUCCGCUUCCCCGGUUCAAGCGAUUCUCCUGCCUCAGCCUCCCAAGUAGUUGGGAUUACAGGAUGAGAACUUGGGCAAAUGUACCAUGUCUGGCCAGAAAAUCGACACCCCGAAGAUUCUGUAACAGCAGCAAGGCCCGGCAAGGCCUUCUGUUCAGAUUCGUCUUGGUCUCUCUGUGCAGCAUUCCUUCCUUCCAUGGUCUGAGGCAGGACCCUUCCAGAAUGAGGGUCUUCAGGAGAGAAGGGACAGGGUGACCUUUUAGGUUUUACGGCUUGCUUUGGGAGAGAGACGAUCUAGUUUCUAUGUCUCACCUUGGAGAAGAUAAAUUCUGGUUUCUACGACUCCCCUCAGGGGAGAAAGAGGGGCAGGAGACAGAAGAGGGCGAGAGACUUUGUUUCUGAGGCUACUUUGGAGGCCUUUCCCUUAGUUCAAAGUACUUAACUUGCCAGUGUGUCAUAUUCGGGUUUUGUUUGCUCAGCUCAGCAACCUGAUGGCAGUGCUUCUGUUUAACUCCUGUUUUCUUCUUGGGUGCAUUUGCUUUGGAGGAAGUAGAAGCUGAAGCACAGCCCAGGAUUGAAGAGAAACUCAGCCCUAAAAUUCUGGAGACCAGGGCUUGAAGCCUAAGCGUGCCACGGACUCACUGGGACCCCUGACCAACUCACCCAGCCUUUCUGGGCCUGGGACACGGGAGCUUGACUCACUGGGGCCUCUCCAGUUACAGGAUACAGGUUCUGGCCAUCAGGCUUGGGUUCAAAGACCAGCUCAAUGGAUGCCUAUUGGAUGAGUCAUUUUCUCAUUAAAAAAAUGUAGGAGUCAAAGUAAUAUUUGGUAAGAAUCAAAUGAAACAAUGCAUGUGGAGGCUCUUGGAAAACUGAAAAAUCAAUACUUUGUACAGAUUCUCUCCUGCCCCCCACCAUUCAUUUUGAGGAUGACAUUACUAAUGAUGAAUUCUGCCCAAGACAUUUUUGACUGGACACAGUGGCUCACACUUGUAAUCCCAGCACUUUGGGAGGCUGAGGCAGGUGGAUAGCUUGAGGCCAGGAGUUUGAGAGUGGCUUGGCCAAUAUGGUGAAACCCCGUCUCUACUAAAAAUACAAAAAUUAUUGUAUUUUUGGGCGUGUUGGUGCACUCCUGUAAUUCCAGCUACUGGGAGGAUGAGGUGGAGGAUCCCUUGAGCCUGGGAGGUGGAGGUUGCAGCGAGCCAUGAUUAUGCCACUGCACUCAAGCCUAAGAGACAGAGCAGAACCUUGUUUC